CUUCAGCCUGGGCCUCAGCCUUCACCACAUCCUGCACUUGACAAUCAACUCGAUAUUUGUCACUCAUUGGUGAGAUGAAGGUGUGCAAAUGACAUUUCGGUAGGAAUAUCACAGACUAGCCAAGUCUCCACUGUGCCUGGGUCCAUGGGAACCUAUUCUUCUACUGGACAUAUCCCCUGAGGUGUCGCCUAAGCUGUAGCUGCCCUGGCAGUUUAAAAAUGGCAGUGCCCACUCCACCAGCUCCCUGUCUUGGCUUCCUGUCUCUCUGGUCCAUUCCAUUUGUUCCAGGUGAAAAGAGCUGGGGUUCCUGAAGCCAAGUUCAUCGCACGGUUCCCACCUAGCAAUCUCCACUCUCCUGAUGCUUCUUACCCUUUCUUUUUUGUUAUUCUUGUUUUCCUUCCUUUCUUGUGUGCAGACCACUAGAUGGAGAUAUAUAAAUGAGCCCUGGACACUUAACCAUGCCAGGCCCCGUUUCUAAGUGCUUUUCCUGCAUGAUUUUAUUGAAUCUUCACAACAACCCUUUGUGGAGGUCCCACGAUUUUCCCUCAUUGAGGUUAAGGGGCGAGGUCAAACCCACAUCAUUCUGAAUUCAGACUUCAUUCACUUGCCAAGAUCACACACUGAGUUGGGAGAAGUUAGAAGGUGUGUGAGUUCCAAGGGCAUCUUUUUCAUUCCUUUGUCCUGGGGCAGAACUGAAGCCAGAUUACCUCCAGAGGGUUACCACUAAACAUCUUAAAUUAGUCCUAGAGAAAAGAGGAAGAAGAAA
rnacentral:lncRNA from 1 species